AAUAUUGGGACAUAUAAAAAAAGACAACUCUGUUCCGCAGAGUAGCUGUUGACAUUAUAGUUGCGCAGGCACUUUGUGGACUCUAGAGAACCUCGGGCCAAUCGCACAUCCCCGUGACGGCGACUUUGCAUGCGGAUGUCAUCCAUAUCAACUUUCGAUGCCAGUUUCUGCGCCUACCAUGGUGACCAUGGGUAAUGGGGAAUCAGGGUUCCAUUCCGUACAGGGACCCUGAGAAACGGCUACCACAUGCAAGGAAGGCAGCAGGCGCGCAAAUGACCCACUCCCGAUGCGGGAAGGUCGUGA
rnacentral:rRNA from 1 species